rnacentral:tmRNA from 1 species
GGGGGUGAAUUAGUUUCGACGUGGAUAGGGAGUGCAUCAGAAGCGAGCCGAGGUCCCCAAUUCCUCGUAAAACCUGGGAACCAAAUAACUGCAAACAAUAAUUACGCCUUAGCUGCUUAAGUUCAGCUAACGCCGCUUAGUUUGAUGCCUGUUCAUACUAAGAUGGUGUCAUAACUACAGGCUGCCUCAGACGGACGGCCCGGGCCGACUGGGGGAGAUUAACGGGCUGGCCCACUCAAAAGCUGGCUGCGGAGCGUUUGAGUAGGCGAGAUCUAAAACUGCAGCUGCGCUCGGAGAUGCUGGUGUUGGCCCAUUCGCGGACAGCGGUGCAACUCCGCUCACCUCCACCA